UGUAAAUGUCCAAUAUAAAACAGGUCAUAUUUUCCAGCUACAUGCUCUAAUUGAACAACAGUGUUCAUAUUCAUUUUGCCAAACUUCACACUUCCAUGUGGUAAACACAAAUUAAAGGAUCCUUUCUGUUUCUUUUUUAAAAAUAUAUUUUAUUUAGCAAGCACAGCACCCCUGAUCCACAAGAACCGGUGCACCAGACGAGGUUGAUUUGAAGAGAAAACAGCAGGUAGAUCUUUGCAUCAGUAUAUAUUAUGUUAUCAUGAAGCUGAGUUCUUCUAUGUUCAACAUCAGGGUGAAAAUCAACUUUGUGUUUGACCUAUGAUGAAAGUUUUAGGUUUUGCAAUGAAGAAGCUGGCAGGACCCAAAAGCAGCAACAGGGAGAGUCUCUUCAGAUGGAGUGAAUUUAUUUACACUGUGCAAAAAUCCCAUCAACCACUGGGUCACAGGAACAAGGAAGUCAGAACAAGGACCAUAGCACUUCAUAGCCACAGCCCACCACUAACAUGUAUACAGCACAUCGAUCCCACAAAGACAGUGUGAGGGAGAGAGGUAUAUAUACACAGAGCACCAGGUGACACCAGUGAGACUGAUGACAGACACAGGUGAGGGUGAUCACACUGAUUAACACACAGAAGACAGCAGGACCAGGGAACAGACAGACCUCACAGUGUCCCUGUCAGGCCAUCACCAUCCUGAAGAUGACUCCUCACCCCUGUCAAACUUCAGUGAUGCCAAACAAGCCGGGCCUCUAACCUGCAGCUGAAACUCCACAAACACAUGCUGGGAGAGUCCCGAGCUUGUCAGUCACUGGACACCAUCUGAUACGAUGAAAGCUGUUUCAUCAGCAUGUGAUAGAUCCAGAGCUCUCUGCUGCAUUCAUU